UACGGAGGAUCCGAGCGUUAUCCGGAUUUAUUGGGUUUAAAGGGAGCGUAGGCGGAUGCUUAAGUCAGUUGUGAAAGUUUGCGGCUCAACCGUAAAAUUGCAGUUGAUACUGGGUGUCUUGAGUGCAGUAUAGGCAGGCGGAAUUCGUGGUGUAGCGGUGAAAUGCUUAGAUAUCACGAAGAACUCCGAUUGCGAAGGCAGCUUGCUGGACUGUAACUGACGCUGAUGCUCGAAAGUGUGGGUAUCAAACAGG
rnacentral:rRNA from 1 species